rnacentral:tRNA from 1 species
GGGCUCAUGGUCUAGUGACCUGUGAAAUGCGCGUCACGGCUAGAAGCUAUGACGUCUCGUUGACGUCGAGGAGGUCGCCGGUUCAAUUCCGGCUGGGCCCA